AGAACACAGAUCCGGGUGCCAGUUGCUAAGCUUCCAGCCCCAGCUGAGGAGGCGUAAUGGGUCUAUUCUUAGGGAUCAGGUUGUGAUGGGUUAGCAACCUGACGUUCAAGACUUUCGGAAAUUCUCAUACUUAAAGGCCACUACUGAAAAUAGCAGUUACCACUUUCACAACCACACCGUGAAUUUGUGCUCCAGAGAUAGCCACUGUUUCAUUUUGCUGACUGUUCUGCGUCUGUAUAGUUAUCAUCUCAGGUGAUGUGAAUUACCAACUGAUGGCAAGCCAGGAGUCACUGGAGACAGUACGAAGUACAGUCUGUGACCACUGGUUUUCUUUUGAAUCAAGACAUCAGAGAAGCAAGGAGCGCUUUUCUGCAAGAUGGAGACUGUUCUAAAGAAGGUGUUGG